CCUACGGGAGGCAGCAGUGGGGAAUAUUGGACAAUGGGCGAAAGCCUGAUCCAGCCAUGCCGCGUGUGUGAAGAAGGCCUUCGGGUUGUAAAGCACUUUCAGUGGGGAAGAAAGCCUUGGGGCUAAUACCCUCGAGGAAGGACAUCACCCACAGAAGAAGCACCGGCUAACUCCGUGCCAGCAGCCGCGGUAAUACGGAGGGUGCGAGCGUUAAUCGGAAUUACUGGGCGUAAAGCGCGCGUAGGCGGUCUGAUAAGCCGGUUGUGAAAGCCCCGGGCUCAACCUGGGAACGGCGUCCGGAACUGUCAGGCUAGAGUGCAGGAGAGGAAGGUAGAAUUCCCGGUGUAGCGGUGAAAUGCGUAGAGAUCGGGAGGAAUACCAGUGGCGAAGGCGGCCUUCUGGACUGACACUGACGCUGAGGUGCGAAAGCGUGGGUAGCAAACAGGAUUAGAUACCCGUGUAGUC
rnacentral:rRNA from 1 species